CGAACGGGUGAGUAACACGUAGGUGAUCUACCCUGGGGAUGGGGAUAGCCUGUGGAAACACAGGGUAAUACCGGAUACGCCGAUUUUUCAAACCUUUGGAGAAUUGGGAAAGAUGCUAAGGCAUCGACCUGGGAUGAGCCUGCGGCUCAUUAGCUAGUUGGUGGGAUAAAGGCCUACCAAGGCGACGAUGGGUAGCCGGCCUGAGAGGGUGAACGGCCACACUGGGACUGAGAGACGGCCCAG
rnacentral:rRNA from 1 species